ACAGGGACAGGGGGGGACCGACGGACUCCUAGGCCCGCCCCAAGAUUUUCCUGGAGGAGGCUCCGCUCCUCUCGACUUGCCUCCUGCUGGGACAGACAAGGACCUGCUGGCCUGCGGAGGAAGAUACACAGGUGGAUCUAUGUACUUCUACUGCUCUCUGUUUUCCUCCUCUAGAUGCUCUCUGGUCAUUCAAGUGCCUCUCAAUGACUGGCUUCAUGCUUUGAGCUGGAUGAAAUUGCUCAAUAUUUCUGAAGUUCAAAUAAAUAUAUAAUAAAUAUCAUCUUAA